UACGUAGGGGGCAAGCGUUGUCCGGAUUUAUUGGGCGUAAAGAGCGUGUAGGCGGCCAGGUAGGUCUGCUGUGAAAACUCGAGGCUCAACCUCGAGACGUCGGCGGAAACCAUCUGGCUAGAGUCCGGAAGAGGAGAGUGGAAUUCCUGGUGUAGCGGUGAAAUGCGCAGAUAUCAGGAAGAACACCCGUGGCGAAGGCGGCUCUCUGGGACGGUACUGACGCUGAGACGCGAAAGCGUGGGGAGCGGACAGG
rnacentral:rRNA from 1 species